GGCGCAUUGGUGCAGCGGUCAGCACGCAGCCCUCUCAAGGCUGAGACACGAGUUCGAUUCUCGUAUGCGCUACCA
rnacentral:tRNA from 1 species